CACCAGUUCUAAGGGACCAUACAGAGUAUUCCUCUCUUCACACCAGGACCAGUCACUGUUGCAGCAUGAGUUCCCAGCAGCAGAAGCAGCCUUGCACCCCACCCCCUCAGCUUCAGCAGCAGCAGGUGAAACAGCCUUGCCAGCCUCCACCUCAGGAACCAUGCAUCCCCAAAACCAAGGAGCCCUGCCACCCCAAGGUGCCUGAGCCCUGCCCUUCAAUAGUCACUCCAGCACCAGCCCAGCAGAAGACCAAGCAGAAGUAAUGUGGUCCACAGCCAUGCCCUUGAGGAGCCGGCCACCAGAUGCUGAAUCCCCUAUCCCAUUCUGCGUAUGAGUCCCAUUUGCCUUGCAAUUAGCAUUCUGUCUCCCCCAAAAAAGAAUGUGCUAUGAAGCUUUCUUUCCUACACACUCUGAGUCUCUGAAUGAAGCUGAAGGUCUUAGUACCAGAGCUAGUUUUCAGCUGCUCAGAAUUCAUCUGAAGAGAGACUUAAGAUGAAAGCAAAUGAUUCAGCUCCCUUAUACCCCCAUUAAAUUCACUUUCAAUUCCA
rnacentral:lncRNA from 1 species